GGCCUCGCGCUUCUUGUUCAUCUCUAUCUGCACGGAUGUGGCUCCGCCGGCCUCCUCCAGCCUCUCACUGAUCUCCUCCAGCUCCCGGGACAGGUCUGAGCGCAGCUUCUCCACCUUGGCCCUGGCUGUGCGCUCGGCCUCCAGCUCCUCCUCCAGCUCCUCGAUGCGAGCCUAGUCAGGGGCACAGGGGUUCAGACCUGCUGACCUGCUUCCUGGAUCCCUCCAUUGAGGCCCGGCCCUGGGACUCUAAAAGACCCCUGGCCUAUGAGAACAGCAAAUCCAUGAUGCUCUCCUGUGUCAGCUUCAGGUCACCCUCCAGCUUCCGCUUGGCUCUCUCCAGGUCCAUGCGCACCUUCUUCUCCUGCUCCAGGGAUCCCUCCAGCUGGCAGAGAGAAGAGCCAACGAUGAACCACAAGAUGCCAACUUUCCUGUUGCCCCAAAAUGGAUUCGAAUGAAUUUCCCCUGAAGAGAUGCAUAGGAGAGAGUAGCAAUGAGCCUGGGAAAGGCUCCCAUUUGAGGCCAGCCUUCAGCCAGCACAAGUCCCAAGUGCAAGGUAGAGUAUCACUCACAAAUCGAGAGGAGUUGUCAUUCCGAACUGUCUUGGCGUUGCCAAAGGCCUCCAGAGCAGGGUUGGCUUGGAUGAUUUGAUCUUCCAGGGUGCCCUGAAAGGGUCAAGAAGGAUGGGAAGUGAAGGCUUCCUACUCUUUUUCUGUAAUGCAGGCCCUUAGGUGACAGCAGGCCUACCUUGCCUGGGGUCUGGUCCUUCUUGCUGCGGUCCCCAAUGGCAGCAAUAACAGCAAAAUAUUGGAUGACCCUCUUAGUGUUGACAGUCUUCCCAGCUCCAGAUUCUCCGCUGUUGUGACAAACAAAGGCUUAAUAGGCAGUAAAAACACUGGUUAAGACCAGCAAGCCUCAAGGGAGGGGAGAGCAUCUAUUCCAGUGGAGAGGAGGCACUCUGAUCAGGAAGUUGUUAGAGACUGGCACAUAGGAUCAGGUUAGUCAACAGGAAGAUGGUGCCACAGACGACAAGGCGUCACGUCAAUCAGAGGAGAGGGCUGUUUGGGAAGAGUAGGUGGAGAGGAGAGAAAAGGUUCUGAAGAGAAAGAUAAGGAAAAUGAAGAAGGAUGAUACAUGGGCUUUUCCAAAUGAGCUCAUGCAUGAAUGAAGAGUUAGAGGAAAGUGGGAGAGGAUGCAAGAGGAGAAAACGAGAGAAAGACGGGAAGGGAGAGAGGCACAAAGGAAGGAGUUAGCACAAAGA